rnacentral:rRNA from 1 species
AGGCCACUGCUAUGGGGGUCCGACUAAGCCAUGCGAGUCAUGGGGCGCCUUGCGCGCACCGGCGGACGGCUCAGUAACACGUCGGUAACCUACCCUCGGGAGGGGGAUAACCCCGGGAAACUGGGGCUAAUCCCCCAUAGGCCUGAGGUACUGGAAGGUCCUCAGGCCGAAAGGGGCUCUGCCCGCCCGAGGAUGGGCCGGCGGCCGAUUAGGUAGUUGGUGGGGUAACGGCCCACCAAGCCGAAGAUCGGUACGGGCCAUGAGAGUGGGAGCCCGGAGAUGGACACUGAGACACGGGUCCAGGCCCUACGGGGCGCAGCAGGCGCGAAACCUCCGCAAUGCGGGCAACCGCGACGGGGGGACCCCCAGUGCCGUGGCAUCGCCACGGCUUUUCCGGAGUGUAAAGAGCUCCGGGAAUAAGGGCUGGGCAAGGCCGGUGGCAGCCGCCGCGGUAAUACCGGCGGCCCGAGUGGUGGCCGCUAUUAUUGGGCCUAAAGCGUCCGUAGCCGGGCCCGUAAGUCCCUGGCGAAAUCCCACGGCUCAACCGUGGGGCUUGCUGGGGAUACUGCGGGCCUUGGGACCGGGAGAGGCGGAGGGUACUCCUGGGGUAGGGGUGAAAUCCUAUAAUCCCAGGAGGACCGCCAGUGGCGAAGGCGCUCCGCUGGAACGGGUCCGACGGUGAGGGACGAAGGCCAGGGGAGCGAACCGGAUUAGAUACCCGGGUAGUCCUGGCUGUAAAGGAUGCGGGCUAGGUGUCGGGCGAGCUUCGAGCUCGCCCGGUGCCGAAGGGAAGCCGUUAAGCCCGCCGCCUGGGGAGUACGGCCGCAAGGCUGAAACUUAAAGGAAUUGGCGGGGGAGCACUACAAGGGGUGGAGCGUGCGGUUUAAUUGGAUUCGACGCCGGGAACCUCACCGGGGGCGACGGCAGGAUGAAGGCCAGGCUGAAGGUCUUGCCGGACACGCCGAGAGGAGGUGCAUGGCCGCCGUCAGCUCGUACCGUGAGGCGUCCACUUAAGUGUGGUAACGAGCGAGACCCGCGCCCCCAGUUGCCAGUCCUCCCCGCUGGGGAGGAGGCACUCUGGGGGGACCGCCGGCGAUAAGCCGGAGGAAGGAGCGGGCGACGGUAGGUCAGUAUGCCCCGAAACCCCCGGGCUACACGCGCGCUACAAUGAGCGGGACAAUGGGAUCCGACCCCGAAAGGGGAAGGUAAUCCCCUAAACCCGCUCCCAGUUCGGAUCGCGGGCUGCAACUCGCCCGUGUGAAGCUGGAAUCCCUAGUACCCGCGUGUCAUCAUCGCGCGGCGAAUACGUCCCUGCUCCUUGCACACACCGCCCGUCACUCCACCCGAGCGGGGUCUGGAUGAGGCCUGGUCUCCCUUCGGGGAGGCCGGGUCGAGUCUGGGCUCCGUGAGGGGGGAGAAGUCGUA